rnacentral:rRNA from 1 species
UACAGAGGUCUCAAGCGUUGUUCGGAUUCAUUGGGCGUAAAGGGUGCGUAGGCGGCGCGGUAAGUCGGGUGUGAAAUCUCGGAGCUUAACUCCGAAACUGCAUUCGAUACUGCCGUGCUUGAGGACUGGAGAGGAGACUGGAAUUUACGGUGUAGCAGUGAAAUGCGUAGAGAUCGUAAGGAGGACCAGUGGCGAAGGCGGGUCUCUGGACAGUUCCUGACACUGAGGCACGAAGGCCAGGGGAGCAAACGGG